UUUUCCUACGGGGGGCAGCAGUGAGGAAUAUUGGUCAAUGGUCGGGAGACUGAACCAGCCAAGCCGCGUGAGGGAUGAAGGUACAGCGUAUCGUAAACCUCUUUUGUCAGGGAACAAAGGCGGGGACUAGUCCCCGGAUGAGGGUACCUGAAGAAAAAGCAUCGGCUAACUCCGUGCCAGCAGCCGCGGUAAUACGGAGGAUGCGGGCGUUAUCCGGAUUUAUUGGGUUUAAAGGGUGCGCAGGCGGCCUGUUAAGUCAGCGGUAAAAGCACGGGGCUCAACCCCGGCGAGCCGUUGAAACUGGG
rnacentral:rRNA from 1 species